UUUCCGUAGGUGAACCUGCGGAAGGAUCAUUCAUAAUAAGUGUUUAUGGCACUUUUUUAAAUCCAUAUCCACCUUGUGUGCAAUGUCAGGGUUGAUUUUUCUCUCGAGAGGAUCAGCCCCAAACAUCAACUAUAUCUCAACUCUUAGUCUGAAAAAUAUUAUGAAUAAAACAAUUCAAAAUACAACUUUCAACAACGGAUCUCUUGGCUCUC
rnacentral:misc_RNA from 1 species